CCUACACGGGGGACAGCUGCGGGCCCGCGGUGGCCAGCGGCAGCCAGUACCUGCACUUUGGCAACGCGGAGCAGAG
rnacentral:miRNA from 1 species